rnacentral:rRNA from 1 species
UACGAAGGGGGCUAGCGUCGUUCGGAUUUACUGGGCGUAAAGCGCACGUAGGCGGGCUAAUAAGUCAGGGGUGAAAUCCCGGGGCUCAACCCCGGAACUGCCUUUGAUACUGUUAGUCUUGAGUAUGGUAGAGGUGAGUGGAAUUCCGAGUGUAGAGGUGAAAUUCGUAGAUAUUCGGAGGAACACCAGUGGCGAAGGCGGCUCACUGGACCAUUACUGACGCUGAGGUGCGAAAGCGUGGGGAGCAAACAGG